UACGUAGGGGGCAAGCGUUGUCCGGAUUUAUUUGGGCGUAAAGAGCGUGUAGGCGGCCAGGUAGGUCUGCUGUGAAAACUCGAGGCUCAACCUCGAGAUGUCGGCGGAAACCAUCUGGCUAGAGUCCGGAAGAGGAGAAUGGAAUUCCCGGUGUAGCGGUGAAAUGCGUAGAUAUUGGGAGGAACACCAGUGGCGAAGGCGGCUCACUGGACCGGUACUGACGCUGAGGCGCGAAAGCGUGGGGAGCAAACAGG
rnacentral:rRNA from 1 species